rnacentral:rRNA from 1 species
UCCUUCCGGGGAGCAGCAGUGAGGAAUUUUGCGCAAUGGGGGAAACCCUGACGCAGCAACGCCGCGUGAGUGAAGAAGGCCUUUGGGUCGUAAAGUUCUGUCGACAGGGAAGAAGUUAACAUCAUCCAAUAGGUGUUGUUAUUGACGGUACCUGUAGAGGAAGCACCGGCUAACUCCGUGCCAGCAGCCGCGGUAACACGGGGGGUGCGAGCGUUAUUCGGAAUUAUUGGGCGUAAAGGGCGCGUAGGCGGUCUUGUCGGUCAGAUGUGAAAGCCCGGGGCUCAACCCCGGACGUGCAUUUGAAACAGCCAGACUUGAGUACGGGAGAGGAAAGCGGAAUUCCCGGUGUAGAGGUGAAAUUCGUAGAUAUCAGGAGGAACACCGAUGGCGAAGGCAGCUUUCUGGCCCGAUACUGACGCUGAGGCGCGAAGGCGUGGGUAGCGAACAGGAUUAGAUACCCUGGUAGUCCACGCAGUAAACGAUGUUCACUAGGUGUAUGCGGGUAUUAAAACUUUCUGUGCCGCAGCUAACGCAUUAAGUAACCGCCUGGAGACGCCCUUU